UACGUAGGGUGCAAGCGUUGUCCGGAAUUAUUGGGCGUAAAGAGCGUGUAGGCGGCCCGACAAGUCCGCUGUGAAAGUUCAGGGCUCAACCCUGGAAUGCCGGUGGAUACUGUCGGGCUAGAGUCCGGAAGGGGCGAGUGGAAUUCCACGUGUAGCGGUGAAAUGCGUAGAGAUGUGGAGGAACACCAGUGGCGAAGGCGACUCUUUGGCCUGUAACUGACACUGAGGCGCGAAAGCGUGGGGAGCAAACAGG
rnacentral:rRNA from 1 species